AUACGGAGGAUCCGAGCGUUAUCCGGAUUUAUUGGGUUUAAGGGGUGCGCAGGCGGCCAUUUAAGUCAGCGGUUAAAUCGUGGGGCUCAACCCCAUUCUGCCGUUGAUACUGGGUGGCUUGAUUGCGGUCGAGGCUGGCGGAAUUCGUUGUGUAGCGGUGAAAUGCAUAGAUAUGACGAAGAACACCGAUUGCGUAGGCAGCUGACCAGACCGCAAAUGACGCUCAUGCACGAAAGUGCGGGGAUCGAACAGGAUUAGAUACCCUGGUAGUCCGCACAGUAAACGAUGAAUACUUGUUUUCGGCGAUAUAAUGUCGGAGGCAAAGCGAAAGCGAUAAGUAUUCCACCUGGGGAGUACGCCGGCAACGGUGAAACUCAAAGGAAUUGUCGGGG
rnacentral:rRNA from 1 species